UCUGGCAAAGAGAUUUGCAGAGUGUCGGGUGACCGGCAAAGAGAUCUGCAGAGUGUCAGUUGAAGACGACGGGAGAGGUCGCAGAGGUAGCAAUGACUGGAGUAUAACAUGCAGGAGAUCAUCAUUUGGCAAAGUUCUGGCAAAGAGAUUUGCAGAGUGUCGGGUGACCGGCAAAGAGAUCUGCAAAGUGUCAGUUGAAGACGACGGGAGGAGUCGCAGAGGAAUUAGUGACUGGAGAAUAGCAUGCAGGAGUGGGUGAUCCCUGAAUAGCUGCCUGGGAGGAGAGCUGCGGACACAUGCUCCAAAUGUUGGGACAUAUGCAUUACCUAUUAGGAGAUGCGGUAAAGAUGCCGACUGUCAGGUUUACGGCAGUCAGAAUACUGACACUGGGAUCCCGACACUCUUCAGAAUCCCGACGUUGGAACUCCAGAUGGGCAAGGAUACCGACGCCCGUAUCCCCACGAUCAUAGGUUUAGGGCUGGGCAAGGGAGGUUAGGUUU